rnacentral:rRNA from 1 species
AACCCAAAUUAAUAGACACCCGGCGUAAAGCGUGUUUAAGAAAGGAAAAAAAUCAAAUAAAGAUAAGUAUCAGCUAAGCUGUAAAAAGCCCCAGCUAUCAUAAAAUAAACAACGAAAGUAUCUUUAGAAAAUCUGAACACACGACAGCUAAGACCCAAACUGGGAUUAGAUACCCCACUAUGCUUAGCCAUCAACUUAAAAAGUCUAAUAAACAAGACUACUCGCCAGAGUACUACUAGCAAAAGCUUAAAACUCAAAGGACUUGGCGGUGCUUUAUAUCCAUCUAGAGGAGCCUGUUCUAUAAUCGAUAAACCCCGAUAAACCUCACCAACUCUUGCUAAUU